CCUACGGGAGGCAGCAGUGGGGAAUAUUGGACAAUGGGCGCAAGCCUGAUCCAGCCAUACCGCGUGUGUGAAGAAGGCCUUCGGGUUGUAAAGCACUUUAAGCAGGGAGAAAAAGUUAUAAGUUAAUACCUUAUAACCGUGAUGUUACCUGCAGAAUAAGCACCGGCUAAUUCCGUGCCAGCAGCCGCGGUAAUACGGAAGGUGCAAGCGUUAAUCGGAAUUACUGGGCGUAAAGCGCGCGUAGGUGGUUU
rnacentral:rRNA from 1 species